rnacentral:rRNA from 1 species
AACGAACGCUGGCGGCAUGCCUAACACAUGCAAGUCGAACGGGAUCCGAGCUUCGGUUCGGUGAGAGUGGCGGACGGGUGAGUAACGCGUGGGAACCUGCCCAGUGGUGGGGGAUAACUGCGGGAAACUGCAGCUAAUACCGCAUGAGCCCGAGAGGGGAAAGAUUUAUCGCCAUUGGAGGGGCCCGCGUUCGAUUAGGUAGUUGGUGAGGUAACGGCUCACCAAGCCUUCGAUCGAUAGCUGGUCUGAGAGGAUGAUCAGCCACACUGGGACUGAGAUACGGCCCAGACUCCUACGGGAGGCAGCAGUGGGGAAUAUUGGACAAUGGGGGGCAACCCUGAUCCAGCAAUGCCGCGUGAGUGAUGAAGGCUUAGGGUGUAAAGCUCUUUACCAGGGUACGAU